UACGGAAGGCAGCAGUGGGGAAUAUUGCACAAUGGGCGAAAGCCUGAUGCAGCUAUGCCGCGUGUAUGAAGAAGGCCUUAGGGUUGUAAAGUACUUUCAUCGGGGAGGAAAAACAAAACUAAUAAUUUUAUUUCUUGACGUUACCCGAAAAAGAAGCACCGGCUAACUCCGUGCCAGCAGCCGCGGUAAUACGGAGGGUGCUAGCGUUAAUCAGAAUUACUGGGCGUAAAGAGCACGUAGGUGGUUUUUUUAAGUCAGAUGUGAAAUCCCUGGGCUUAACCUGGAACUGCAUUUUUGAAACUGAAUACUAGAGUAUCGUAGAGGGAGGUAGGAAUUCUAGGUGUAGCGGUGAAAUGCGUAGAUAUCUGGAGGAAUACCUGUGGCGAAAGCGGCCGUCCUAAACCGAAUACUGACACUGAGGUGCGAAAGCGUGGGGAGCAAACAGGGAUUAGAUA
rnacentral:rRNA from 1 species